rnacentral:lncRNA from 1 species
UUUUUUUUUAUUUCAACUCUAUAAAGUAUACAACAGGCACUCGGCAAUUACAGCUGCAGGAAAAAUACAGAGCAAAUCAAAGCAGGUUAAUUUUAUGAAAAAGUUUUUAAUCUACAUCAAAAGAGUGCAAGUGGUCAAUGACCAUUUGAUGACAGUUGUUGCAUUCUGACUAACAAAGGACUCUUUCAUGUAGAACAAAUUGUAAGAGGACAAUCAAGUAACCAUAGCUGUAAGAAUACAAAAGAACUGACCAGUUGUAAAAACAUCAUACAAUGAAAUAAAUUGGAUAGAUGAUACUUGAAGAAAUGUCCCUUGCCUCGGAAAGCCCAAACCUCUGAGUCACUGUCAAGGUCCCAGAGCUCUGUUAAGUCAGGGGCAGAUAAAGAGGAGGGCUAACAACACACUUCCAAUUUUAUCUUUCCAGGUCCGUUGCAAACUUGCCUCAUAAAUGAUUUGCAUAUACAAGAACUCAGAAAGCAUCCUGUUUUGUUGAGGAGUGCACCAAGGUACGUGUUCAUCAUUGGUUUCAUAACGAGGUGUGGUUAGCAGUCACUUUCCAAUUUUUCUUUUGAGUUGGAGCGUCGGUAAUGGAGUCUAUAAAAUGAGACGUUAGAACUUGACUGCACUCAUGGUUUUUUUAUUUUUUAACUGAAUCUGCACAGCUUAGCAAAACAGGAAUGCCUGUAUACAGACUGAUAGUAUGUCAUAUAUUAAUUUGACCUGCACAUACAUUUUACAUUUCACAGAAAUGACGCUGUAUCUCAGUAACAGAUACACAGCUCUGGUACAUGUAACAGAAAUAAGAGAGCGACUUCAUCAUUUCUGUAAUUCAUCAAUAUUAUAUAAUAAAGGCUUAUAAAUUGUUAGCAGAAAGAACUGUAAAACGCAGCAAGCUAAGAAAGGACAACAUUUUGAGGUGUAUUUGUCUUUGUCAUGCAGCAUAACACCAAAUUUGUUUUUUAAUAGGAUGCCAUGAAUUUAAGGCACUUGCAACAAUGCCAGAUAGCCAGGUCAUGUUCUAAACUAUGGAACAGAUGAAACCAUACAGUUGACAUAAUUUUCAAUAAUACUGACAAUUAUGACAUUAAUUCAAGUCUACUUGGACCUAAAAACAGUAUUCAAUACAAAGAAAAUGAAAUAAUAAUGCUGUGAAACACUAAAAAAAAGUUAUAUGUACCACAAAAUAUCACACAAAAAUAUCUAUUUACAUAAAUAUUUGUCUGUGGUCCUAUUGUGAAAGAAAACGUCGUUAUGGAUAAUGCACAGAUCACCUCUACCGUAUGAAAUCAGUUCUGCUAUCCUAGUUUUCAGUAUGGUAGCUGACUUCUGUAAAUUUAGUUCACCAUCAGUUCAGUCAUGUAGAAAUAAAACGACAAAAAUUCAAUAGCUGAAUUUCUAUAUCACACGUGUGAUUCACAUGCCUAUCCCAUAAUUUUAAGUAAAAGAAAAAAAAAGUGACUUGUAAAGAAUAUCAUCAAAGAAAUUUGUUUUAAAUGCCACAUGGAUCUGACUCGUAGGUGAGUAACAAAGUAGAAAGAAACGUAAAAAUCAUUUAUAGCAAUUUUCCAGAACUCGUUUCCUCUAAUGUGUUCAAUUUAUCUCAAAUAUCAUGAUGUUCCUUUCCUUGGCAGUUUGCAGUUUUUCCUGUGCGCCAAGACACACGGAAAGCCCUUAUUUCCCAUGCUCAGAGUAGUAACAAGAGAGUCAGUUAACAAAUCGAACAAGUUGGCACUAUUCUAACUUACCCAGAUGUUCUUUAGUGUGAGGAAAAAGAGAAGGGGCAUGAAAAUUCAGAAAUAAUGUGAGAUGCGCUCUACGAAGCUGACCGUGAUUUUUAGCCCUAGUGUCUUCGUUAAGACAAGAUUUAAACCCUUGAAUUUCAAUGCUGAAGAUUAGAGGACUGUUUUUCUCUUAGCAACUUUUUGGAAGAUGUAGUUCACCUUCUGUUGGUUAGUAUGCGAUGCCACAGGUGAAAUGCAACAACGAUGUGCUAACGAGUAGGAGAAAUGGGAGACCGUUCCAUCGAGCCGCUGCUACUUCUUCAUUCCUCAGAGGACUUGUACAUUGUUGUCUUAGACUUGAACCAGACUUCCAACAUCCGCAGGGAGCACUAAGCUCUGGGGCUUUGGGAGGGGGGGGUGGUAUUUAGGUAAACUUAGUAUUCUAACAAACCUCCACACUCUAGCUUUCCACAAAAAUCACUGAACAUUGACCACGGUGUUGAAAUUAUAUACUUUUUCAAAGCCCGGUUAAAAGCAAUAUAGAGAUGCUGAAAUAGCAUUCAGAGCCGGAUCUUAGGUUGAUACGUUUAAUUUUUACAUUCUGAAAUCUGUAGAAGAAAGUGGAUAUCUUGGGGGCAUAAAGGGACCGUAAGCAAUUAUUCGCAAAGGAGGGAAAACUACUGUAAGAAUAGCAGUAACCUCUUGGGAUCAAAAGUUUAACAUCGCUUUAUUCUGAUGAGAGAUAAUAUGCCCUUAGUAUUGUUAUUCCCCAAAUGUUUCUUAGACUGUUAUGUUUUGAUACCAUAUUCUAAAGUAGCCUUAGUAUGAAAAAUUCCAACAGAAAUAAUAAGAUAUGCCUCCUGGGAUAUGGUAAUAAUGACCUUUGUGGACAUAUUUUUUUGGGAAAUGUUUACGUUUGAUUGACUUUAAAAAGAAACUAAAUUUUAUACCGGAUAAAAGCAACCUUCAGUUGAGUAU